UACAGAGGGGGCGAGCGUUGUUCGGAAUUACUGGGCGUAAAGGGCGCGUAGGCGGCCUUCUAAGUCGAACGUGAAAUCCCCGGGCUCAACCCGGGAACUGCGUCCGAUACUGGGAGGCUUGAAUCCGGGAGAGGGAUGUGGAAUUCCAGGUGUAGCGGUGAAAUGCGUAGAUAUCUGGAGGAACACCGGUGGCGAAGGCGGCAUCCUGGACCGGUAUUGACGCUGAGGCGCGAAAAGCCAGGGG
rnacentral:rRNA from 1 species